CCUACGUGAGGCAGCAGUGGGGAAUAUUGCACAAUGGGGGAAACCCUGAUGCAGCGACGCCGCGUGAGUGAAGAAGUAAAUCGUUAUGUAAAGCUCUAUCAGCAGGGAAGAAAAUGACGGUACCUGAGUAAGAAGCCCCGGCUAACUACGUGCCAGCAGCCGCGGUAAUACGUAGGGGGCAAGCGUUAUCAGGAUUUACUGGGUGUAAAGGGAGCGUAGACGGCAGUGCAAGUCUGGAGUGAAAGGCGGGGGCUCAACCCCCGGACUGCUCUGGAAACUGUACGGCUGGAGUGCAGGAGAGGUAAGUGGAAUUCCUAGUGUAGCGGUGAAAUGCGUAGAUAUUAGGAGGAACACCAGUGGCGAAGGCGGCUUACUGGACUGUAACUGACGUUGAGGCUCGAAAGCGUGGGGAGCAAACAGGAUUAGAUACCCCUGUAGUC
rnacentral:rRNA from 1 species